rnacentral:rRNA from 1 species
AGUGAACGCUGGCGGUAGGCCUAACACAUGCAAGUCGAACGGCAGCACAGUAAGAGCUUGCUCUUACGGGUGGCGAGUGGCGGACGGGUGAGGAAUACAUCGGAAUCUACUUUUUCGUGGGGGAUAACGUAGGGAAACUUACGCUAAUACCGCAUCCGACCUACGGGUGAAAGCAGGGGAUCUUCGGACCUUGCGCGAUUGAAUGAGCCGAUGUCGGAUUAGCUAGUUGGCGGGGUAAAGGCCCACCAAGGCGACGAUCCGUAGCUGGUCUGAGAGGAUGAUCAGCCACACUGGAACGGAGACACGGUCCAGACUCCUACGGGAGGCAGCAGUGGGGAAUAUUGGACAAUGGGCGCAAGCCUGAUCCAGCCAUACCGCGUGGGUGAAGAAGGCCUUCGGGUUGUAAAGCCCUUUUGUUGGGAAAGAAAAGCAGCAGGUUAAUACCCCGCUGUUCUGACGGUACCCAAAGAAUAAGCACCGGCUAACUUCGUG